UUUCCGUAGGUGAACCUGCGGAAGGAUCAUUAACGAAUAACUAUGGUGUCUUGGUUGUAGCUGGCUCCUCGGAGCAAUGUGCACGCCCGCCAUUUUUAUCUUUCCACCUGUGCACCGACUGUAGGUCUGGAUGACUCUCGUACUCCGGUGCGGAUGCGAGGAUUGCUCUCGGGCUCUCCUCGAAUUUCCAGACUCUACGUCUUUUACACACCCCAAACGUAUGAUACAGAAUGUAGUCAAUGGGCUUGAUCGCCUAUAAAACACUAUACAACUUUCAGCAACGGAUCUCUUGGCUCUC
rnacentral:misc_RNA from 1 species